rnacentral:rRNA from 1 species
AUUGAACGCUGGCGGCAGGCCUAACACAUGCAAGUCGAACGAGUGGCGGACGGGUGAGUAAUGUCUGGGAAACUGCCCGAUGGAGGGGGAUAACUACUGGAAACGGUAGCUAAUACCGCAUACCAUCGGAUGUGCCCAGAUGGGAUGAGCUAGUAGGUGGGGUAACGGCUCACCUAGGCGACGAUCCCUAGCUGGUCUGAGAGGAUGACCAGCAAAACCGGAACUGAGACACGGGCAAGAAUCCUACGGGAGGCAGCAGGGGGGAAUAUUGCACAAUGAGCGCAAUCCUGAUGCAGCCAUGCCGCGUGGAUGAAGAAGGCCUUCGGGGUGUAAAGUACUUUCAGCGAGGAGGCGUUACUCGCAGAAGAAGCACCGGCUAACUCCGUGCCAGCAGCCGCGGUAAUUC